CCUACGGGUGGCAGCAGUGGGGGAUAUUGGACAAUGGGGGAAACCCUGAUCCAGCGACGCCGCGUGAGUGAAGAAGUAUUUCGGUAUGUAAAGCUCUAUCAGCAGGGAAGAAAGAAAUGACGGUACCUGAGUAAGAAGCCCCGGCUAACUACGUGCCAGCAGCCGCGGUAAUACGUAGGGGGCAAGCGUUAUCCGGAAUUACUGGGUGUAAAGGGAGCGUAGACGGUUUAGCAAGUCAGAAGUGAAAGCCCGGGGCUCAACUCCGGGACUGCUUUUGAAACUGUUGAACUAGAUUGCAGGAGAGGUAAGUGGAAUUCCUAGUGUAGCGGUGAAAUGCGUAGAUAUUAGGAGGAACACCAGUGGCGAAGGCGGCUUACUGGACUGUAAAUGACGCUGAGGCUCGAAAGCGUGGGGAGCAAACAGGAUUAGAUACCCCAGUAGUC
rnacentral:rRNA from 1 species